UUGCAGUUGAACGCUCGUAGUCUGAGGUAACUCCAUUUUGGAAUAACCGUUCGCCUCGCUAGUCAUCCGACUGGUGAGAUCCCGACGGUUUUUCACCUUGAAUAAAUCAGAGUGUUCAAAGCAGGCUCAGCUUGAAUACUUCCGCAUGGAAUGAGACGAAUAUUAUUUCCCUUGUUUCGGUGCUUGGGUUUGUAAAUAUCUUUAGGAACAGUCGAGGACAUUUGUACUUAAUCGAGAGAGGUGAAAUUCUUGGACCGAUUAAUGACAAACAAAAGCGAAAGCAUCUGCCAAGGAUGUUUUCUUUGAUCAAGAACGAAGGUCAGUGUAUCGAAGACGAUCAGAUACCGUCGUAGUCCUGACUGUAAACUAUGCCGACUGGAGUUCCAUUGAGAAGCAUUCAACUCAGUGGGGAUCCAGAGAGAAAUCAAAGUUUUUGGGUUCUGGGGGAAGUAUGGUCGCAAGGCUGAAACUUGAAGGAAUUGACGGAAGGGCACCACCAGGCGUGGAGCUUGCGGCUUAAUUUGACUCAACGCGGGAAAACUUACCAGGUCAAAACAUGGUUAUGAUUGACAGGCUGAUAGUCCUUUCUCGAUUCCAUGGUUGGUGGUGCAUGGCCGUUCUUAGUUGGUGGACUGAUCUGUCUGGUUAAUUCCGGUAACGAACGAGACCUUGGCCUGCUAAUUAGGGGUAGCACUUUUGCGCUACCACCUUCUUAGAGGGACUAUGAUACUUACUUCAAUGAAGCUCGAGGCAAUAACAGGUCUGUUAUGCCCUUAGAUGUCCUGGGCCGCACGCG
rnacentral:rRNA from 1 species